rnacentral:rRNA from 1 species
UACGGGGGGGGCAAGCGUUGUUCGGAAUUACUGGGCGUAAAGGGCUCGUAGGCGGCCAACUAAGUCGGACGUGAAAUCCCUCGGCUUAACCGGGGAACUGCGUCCGAUACUGGAUGGCUUGAGUUCGGGAGAGGGAUGCGGAAUUCCAGGUGUAGCGGUGAAAUGCGUAGAUAUCAAGCGGAACACCGGUGGCGAAGGCGGCCUUCUGGACAGUGACUGACGCUGAGACGCGAAAGCGUGGGGAGCAAACAGG